AGUGGGAUAGCUGGGUCAACUGGUGGUUCUAUUCCAAGUUUUCUAACGUAUCUCCAUACUGCUUUCCAAAGUGUUUGUACCAUUUGUAAUCCCACCAGCAAU
rnacentral:pre_miRNA from 1 species